rnacentral:rRNA from 1 species
CCUACGGGUGGCUGCAGUGAGGAAUAUUGGUCAAUGGACGAGAGUCUGAACCAGCCAAGUAGCGUGAAGGAAGAAGGCCCUAUGGUUUGUAAACUUCUUUUAUAUGGGAAUAAAAGUGUGCAUGCAUACCCUUUUGUAUGUACCAUAUGAAUAAGGAUCGGCUAACUCCGUGCCAGCAGCCGCGGUAAUACGGAGGAUGCGAGCGUUAUCCGGAUUUAUUGGGUUUAAAGGGAGCGUAGGUUGAUUGUUAAGUCAGUUGUGAAAGUUUGCGGCUCAACCGUAAAAUUGCCGUUGAAACUGGCAGUCUUGAGUGCAGUAGAGGUAGGCGGAAUUCGUGGUGUAGCGGUGAAAUGCUUAGAUAUCACGAAGAACUCCGAUUGCGAAGGCAGCUCACUGGACUGCAACUGACACUGAAGCUCGAAAGCGUGGGUAUCAAACAGGAUUAGAUACCCUUGUAGUC